rnacentral:rRNA from 1 species
UNUGACUUGAGUGCAGAAGGGGAGAGUGGAAUUCCAUGUGUAGCGGUGAAAUGCGUAGAUAUAUGGAGGAACACCNGUGGCGAAAGCGGCUCUCUGGUCUGUCACUGACGCUGAGGCUCGAAAGCGUGGGUAGCGAACAGGAUUAGAUACCCUGGUAGUCCACGCCGUAAACGAUGAGUGCUAGGUGUUAGGCCCUUUCCGGGGCUUAGUGCCGGAGCUAACGCAAUAAGCACUCCGCCUGGGGAGUACGACCGCAAGGUUGAAACUCAAAGGAAUUGACGGGGGCCCGCACAAGCGGUGGAGCAUGUGGUUUAAUUCGAAGCAACGCGAAGAACCUUACCAGGUCUUGACAUCCCGAUGCUAUUCUUAGAGAUAGGAAGUUACUUCGGUACAUCGGAGACAGGUGGUGCAUGGUUGUCGUCAGCUCGUGUCGUGAGAUGUUGGGUUAAGUCCCGCAACGAGCGCAACCCUUAUUGUUAGUUGCCAUCAUUAAGUUGGGCACUCUAGCGAGACUGCCGGUAAUAAACCGGAGGAAGGUGGGGAUGACGUCAAAUCAUCAUGCCCCUUAUGACCUGGGCUACACACGUGCUACAAUGGUCGGUACAACGAGUUGCGAGCCGGUGACGGCAAGCUAAUCUCUGAAAGCCGAUCUCAGUUCGGAUUGGAGGCUGCAACUCGCCUC